rnacentral:rRNA from 1 species
AGUGAACGCUGGCGGCAUGGUUAAGACAUGCAAGUCGAACGAAAAGCAUGACUUCGGUUAUGUGGAAAGUGGCGAACGGGUGCGUAACACGUGAGCAACCUGCCCUUGAGUAUGGAAUAGCCCGCCGAAAGGCGGAUUAAUGCCGUAUGUGGCCUUUCAUCGCAUGGUGAGAUGGCUAAAGCUUGUAAUGGCGCUCAAGGAUGGGCUCGCGGCCUAUCAGCUUGUUGGUGAGGUAACAGCUCACCAAGGCUAAGACGGGUAGCUGGUCUGAGAGGAUGAUCAGCCACACCGGGACUGAGACACGGCCCGGACACCUACGGGUGGCAGCAGUUUCGAAUCAUUCACAAUGGGCGAAAGCCUGAUGGUGCAAUGCCGCGUGGAGGAUGACGGCCUUAGGGUUGUAAACUCCUGUCAUUGGGGAGCAACAAGCAGGUUUAUAGCCUGCCCUGAGUUAACCCAAAGAGGAAGAGGUGGCUAACUCCG